GGACGAACGCUGGCGGCGUGCCUAACACAUGCAAGUCGAGCGAAGUACUUAUCAAUAAGCCUUCGGGCAGAUUGAUAAGUUACUUAGCGGCGGAUGGGUGAGUAACGCGUGAGGAACCUGCCUUCCACAAGGGGAUAGCCUCGGGAAACCGGGAUUAAUACCCUAUGACACUUAAAGGUCCCAUGACUUUUAAGUUAAAGCGUUAGCGGUGGAAGAUGGCCUCGCGUCCCAUUAGCUAGUUGGUGAGGUAAGGGCUCACCAAGGCCACGAUGGGUAGCCGGCUUGAGAGAGUGACCGGCCACACUGGAACUGAGACACGGUCCAGACUCCUACGGGAGGCAGCAGUGGGGAAUAUUGCACAAUGGAGGGAACUCUGAUGCAGCGACGCCGCGUGAGCGAUGAAGGCCUUCGGGUCGUAAAGCUCUGUCCUAUGGGACGAUAAUGACGGUACCAUAGGAGGAAGCCCCGGCUACUACGUGCCAGCAGCCGCGGUAAUACGUAGGGGGCGAGCGUUGUCCGGAAUUACUGGGCGUAAAGGGUACGCAGGCGGUCAUGUAAGUCAGAUGUGAAAUCCUAAGGCUUAACCUUAGUAAGCAUUUGAAACUGCGUGGCUUGAGUUAAGGAGAGGAAAGUGGAAUUCCUGGUGUAGCGGUGAAAUGCGUAGAUAUCAGGAGGAAUACCAGUGGCGAAGGCGACUUUCUGGCCUUAACUGACGCUGAGGUACGAAAGCGUGGGGAGCAAACAGGAUUAGAUACCCUGGAAGUCCACGCUGUAAACGAUGAGUGCUAGGUGUCGGGUGUCAAAGCUCGGUGCCGCAGUAAACACAUUAAGCACUCCGCCUGGGGAGUACGUUCGCAAGAAUG
rnacentral:rRNA from 1 species